CACGUAGGGUGCGAGCGUUGUCCGGAAUUAUUGGGCGUAAAGAGCUCGUAGGCGGUGUGUCGCGUCGGCCGUAAAAACCUGGGGCUUAACUCUGGGCGUGCGGUCGAUACGGGCAUCACUGGAGUUCGGCAGGGGAGACUGGAAUUCCUGGUGUAGCGGUGAAAUGCGCAGAUAUCAGGAGGAACACCGGUGGCGAAGGCGGGUCUCUGGGCCGAUACUGACGCUGAGGAGCGAAAGCGUGGGGAGCGAACAGG
rnacentral:rRNA from 1 species